UCUGCUUCUCUUCCUGACCCUAAGGUUUUGCCUUUACGUUUCUUGGCUUUCCCUGAUAAUGGACUGUAAUGUUAGGAGUCUUCCCAAGUUACUUUUGGUCUGUGUAUUUAUCACAGUAACAGAAAGUAAACCGAACAGACCUCCACACUUCUGCACUUCUGCUGUGGGACAUGAGCCUGCACUCAGUGCACCCAACACACACUACUACUACUACUACUAAUAAUAAUAAUGAAUUUCUAAAAGGUGAGAAAGGCUUGCUCUGUUUAUUUUGUUUGAAGAAGUUUCACUGUACUCUGUUGAUCUGAAGACUUCCAGGAUCAAGGUAGAUAGUUCAGCAUCACCAUUUCCUAUGCAGUGAGUUAAGAUCCCAGCCUAGCAUCAAGAAUUCAUAAUUCCGGGCUGGAGAGAUGGCUCAGCGGGUAAGAGCACUGACUGCUCUUCUGAAGGUCCUGAGUUCAAAUCCCAGCAACCACAUGGUGGCUCACAACCAUCUGUAAUGAGAUCUGAUGCCCUCUUCUGAUGUGUCUGAAGACAGCUACAGUGUACUUAGAUAUAAUAAUAAAUAAAAGAAUCAAUAUUAAAAAAAAAAAAGAAUUCAUAAUUCCCACGAGGCUGUUUCUGCUCAUGUCUGGAAAAAGGGUGUUCUUUCUCUUUUUCCUUGAAAAAGUUUCAUCCUAUAGUGCUCGAUGCUCUGGAACUUACUGUGUAGCCCAGGGCUGGCCUCAGACUAUUACAGUAAAAAAUAUUGUGUUGUUCUGAAAAUGUUACAAAGUCACAAUGAUCUCAUUGUCAAGGAAUUAGCUGAAAUGUAGAUUACAUUCCAUCCACAGACUAGGUUCUUGUGUUAAGGGGCUAGAUUGUUAUCCUAUACUGUAUAUUUAUGUAAAACUUAGUGGGCUUUGUUUUUGUUGUUGUUGUUGUUGUUGUUGUUUUAUUAAAUUUUGAGCCAGUCCUUGGUGGCUCACAUCCUUAAAUCCUAGCACUUGGGAAGCAGAGGCAGGCAGGCUGUCCAAGUUCAAGAACAGCCAGGGCUACACCGAGAAGCCCUGUCUGGGGGAGUGGGAAAGAAGGACCAGUGAGAGAGCGUUGCUGAGGCUGGGUUCAGACUUGCAGCUAUGAAGAACAAGCUGGUUUCAGUUUGAGAGCCUCCUGUGUCAACCUCUGUGGUAGCUAGGACUGUAUUGUAGACAAUUCACCACAACACCACACCUGAUUUAGGCUUACUGAGUACUUUUUAAAAUCAAUACUGUAUAUUCUCUUUGAAUUCUCAUAAUAGCACUGUAGCCACUGUGGCUUAAGCCCACAGACUUGUCUUAGAUGGGUGCUGACUUCCCUUAAACUGGAUGGACAGAUGGCUCUUGGGUUAGGGGCACUGGCUGCUCUCAGUUCCCAGCGUCAACUUUGAGCAGGUCAGCUGCCUGGGACAGCAUUUUCUGGGGGGUGGGUAUUACACCUCUAGUCUCCAUGAGUACCUGCACACAAGUGCACAUACCCAAAUACAGACACACAUGAAUAUGAAGUGAGGACCGGAAGGCAGCUCAGUAGCUAAGAGCACUUAUUUCUCUUGCAGAGAACCUGAGUUUAGUUCCCACCACCCACAGUCACCCAUAGAUUGUAGUUCACAAUCACCCAUAACUCCAGUUCCCGGAGAUCCAACCCCCUCCUCUGACCUCUGUAGACAGCAGACACACAUGUGGUACACACACAUACAUGUAGGCAAAACACUCAUCGCAUCAGAUAACUCU
rnacentral:lncRNA from 1 species